rnacentral:lncRNA from 1 species
GUAUAUUAUAAAUGCACAUAUAAACAUUUCCAGUCAGGGCACAAUGUGAGGAUGUGCUUUAUCUAGUAGCUGAUUUUUCCUGUACUGAUGGAUGAAGUCAGAGCAGUUAUGCAUAUCCCUUUGGUUAUCCAUGGGAUACUGUUAAAAUAUCUCCAAACAUAAGUGGUAUGCACUGAUCUGCUCUUAUACUACAAAGUCCUGGUGAAUAAUGUCAGACAGUUGGUUUCUCUCCUCUGAGGACUAUUUCUUUGCAAGAGUUUAUUCUGCUCUGUUUCUCUUGCUCUGUUUGAAAACAAGGUGCUGGUAUGAACACCUGGUUACCUUGCCUUCGGUGCUCAGACAUGCUUGCUUUAUCUUUUCUUUUUUCUGCUCCAGAUGGCACUAUUAAAUGCUUGUUCCUGGGUUUGGCUGGUAUUCUCACAUAGAUACAUGAAAGUUAAAGCUUGUAUUGGGUGGCAUUUGCUUUACUGGUAUCUUCACAAUUAUAUUUACCUUCCCUUAAGUGACUGGCUGGGUAGGGCAUGGGAAAAGGGGAGAUUGUUCCUCACCACUAGGCAGCUGAGCAUAUUUGGGCACAACAGGAUGGAGAAACUGCAGGAUGAACUUGUCAAAGGCACAGGGAGCUGGAUGCUUGCAACAUGGUGCUGUGAGAAACCAUCCAGGCCUUAGAGAUGUUGACAACAGAUUUCCUAGUACCCAAAGGGUCCAGGGAAGGGUUUGCUGCUCCUCCACAGUCAUGGAGUUACCUGGAAGCAAGGAUGCACUGGUUGAUUCUGAGAUUCUCCAGAGCUCUGCAGGGACGAUGCCCUGAAGAAUUGCUGGGAGUGCAGAAGGGCCUCGUUCACCCUAAUGGUAUUGACUGCUGCUCACUCUGUCUCGCCAGGCUGCCCUGCAUGGACGGCUGCCCCCUUUCUGCGCUGACUGCCCACCUGUGGCACCAUGGAGCCCACAGCCAGGAGGAAGCCAUCUCUGGUUCCAGUCAGCUUAGCAACACAGCAGUGCCAAGCCCUGGUUUACAUGGGGAGCAGCUGCCCCAGCACUCAUGGUGAGGCGGGCAGCAGAAGACAGUGACCUCAGCCAGAGUUUGUGUCUUCAUUUUUUUUUUCAUUUAUACCAUCCCCCUCACCUGGUUUUCUCCUAGGUUCAGAAGUAGAUCUGGUUGAUCUGAAACUGCAUCCUCUGGUGCACGUCCAUGACAUUUAGGGUCUCCAUCCUGAACAUGUCACUUACAGAUGUCUAAACCAAGUAAAAAUGGGGUUUACAGUUUUAAAACAGGUACACACUUAGGAAAAUGUCACCCAUACUUUCCAGCUCUGCCUUUUAAAAUAUUCCAUGAAUGGAGUAUUUCAUCUCAUGAACCUCCAAAUGGAAGCCUACAUAAAAAGGACUUUUCUUAUUUUCAGUGGUCAUUUAUUUUAUUUUAUUUUAUUUUAUUUUAUUUUAUUUUAUUUUAU